AUUGAACGCUGGCGGAAUGCUUUACACAUGCAAGUCGAACGGCAGCACGGGGCAACCUGGUGGCGAGUGGCGAACGGGUGAGCAAUACAUCGGAACGUGCCCAAUCGUGGGGGAUAACGUAGCGAAAGUUACGCUAAUACCGCAUACGAUCUACGGAUGAAAGCGGGGGAUCGCAAGACCUCGCGCGAGUGGAGCGGCCGAUGUCAGAUUAGGUAGUUGGUGGGGUAAAGGCUCACCAAGCCAACGAUCUGUAGCUGGUCUGAGAGGACGACCAGCCACACUGGAACUGAGACACGGUCCAGACUCCUACGGGAGGCAGCAGUGGGGAAUUUUGGACAAUGGGCGCAAGCCUGAUCCAGCCAUUCCGCGUGCAGGAUG
rnacentral:rRNA from 1 species